rnacentral:lncRNA from 1 species
AUGAAGAAAUUUAAUCCAAAUUUUUCCCUUUUUUUAUUGAGAAAUGUCCCAGUUUGGGCUGAGGGGUCACUCAGUGGUCACUCAGUGGUCACUCAGUGGUCACUCAAUGGUCACUCAGUGGUCACUCAGGGGUCACUCAAUGGUCACUCAUUGGUCAGUGGUCACUCAUUGGUCACUCAAUGGCCACUCAUUGGUCAGUGGUCACUCCGGGGUCACUCAGUGGUCACUCAGUGGUCACUCAGGGUCACUCAGGGGUCACUCAUUGGUCACUCAGCGGUCACUCAGGGGUCACUCAUUGGUCACUCAGGGGUCACCGCGGGGUCAAAGGUCACUGACCUGCUCGCCCAGGUUGCUGAAGGCGUUCCCGUAGGCCCCGCCCCCCACAAGCCCCUCCCCCAGCGCCAGCGCCGCGGCCACGCCCAGCCCGGGCAGGAGGUGAUUGACAGCCACGGCGGCCAAUAGGAACGAGG